rnacentral:rRNA from 1 species
GAUGAACGCUGGCGGCGUGCCUAAUACAUGCAAGUCGAGCGAACGGACGAGAAGCUUGCUUCUCUGAUGUUAGCGGCGGACGGGUGAGUAACACGUGGAUAACCUACCUAUAAGACUGGGAUAACUUCGGGAAACCGGAGCUAAUACCGGAUAAUAUUUUGAACCGCAUGGUUCAAAAGUGAAAGACGGUCUUGCUGUCACUUAUAGAUGGAUCCGCGCUGCAUUAGCUAGUUGGUAAGGUAACGGCUUACCAAGGCAACGAUGCAUAGCCGACCUGAGAGGGUGAUCGGCCACACUGGAACUGAGACACGGUCCAGACUCCUACGGGAGGCAGCAGUAGGGAAUCUUCCGCAAUGGGCGAAAGCCUGACGGAGCAACGCCGCGUGAGUGAUGAAGGUCUUCGGAUCGUAAAACUCUGUUAUUAGGGAAGAACAUAUGUGUAAGUAACUGUGCACAUCUUGACGGUACCUAAUCAGAAAGCCACGGCUAACUACGUGCCAGCAGCCGCGGUAAUACGUAGGUGGCAAGCGUUAUCCGGAAUUAUUGGGCGUAAAGCGCGCGUAGGCGGUUUUUUAAGUCUGAUGUGAAAGCCCACGGCUCAACCGUGGAGGGUCAUUGGAAACUGGAAAACUUGAGUGCAGAAGAGGAAAGUGGAAUUCCAUGUGUAGCGGUGAAAUGCGCAGAGAUAUGGAGGAACACCAGUGGCGAAGGCGACUUUCUGGUCUGUAACUGACGCUGAUGUGCGAAAGCGUGGGGAUCAAACAGGAUUAGAUACCCUGGUAGUCCACGCCGUAAACGAUGAGUGCUAAGUGUUAGGGGGUUUCCGCCCCUUGGUGCUGCAGCUAACGCAUUAAGCACUCCGCCUGGGGAGUACGACCGCAAGGCUGAAACUCAAAGGAAUUGACGGGGACCCGCACAAGCGGUGGAGCAUGUGGUUUAAUUCGAAGCAACGCGAAGAACCUUACCAAAUCUUGACAUCCUUUGACGACUCUAGAGAUAGAGCCUUCCCCUUCGGGGGACAAAGUGACAGGUGGUGCAUGGUUGUCGUCAGCUCGUGUCGUGAGAUGUUGGGUUAAGUCCCGCAACGAGCGCAACCCUUAAGCUUAGUUGCCAUCAUUAAGUUGGGCACUCUAAGUUGACUGCCGGUGACAAACCGGAGGAAGGUGGGGAUGACGUCAAAUCAUCAUGCCCCUUAUGAUUUGGGCUACACACGUGCUACAAUGGACAAUACAAAGGGCAGCGAAACCGCGAGGUCAAGCAAAUCCCAUAAAGUUGUUCUCAGUUCGGAUUGUAGUCUGCAACUCGACUACAUGAAGCUGGAAUCGCUAGUAAUCGUGGAUCAGCAUGCUACGGUGAAUACGUUCCCGGGUCU